AGCUGCGGUUAGUGGAUGACAGGACCGCCGGCUCCCCUGCGCUCCAGCCAUCAUAGGCUGUCCUGGAAUCUUCCCAUGGAGACAGCCCUUGGUGGGCUCAUUACCAAGUGGUGAACAGGACACAUUUGGUCACUUGUCCAUAGGAAAAUGGUGUGAUGGCUGCAUUUCCCGGAUCAACCACGGCUCAGCUGACACAUUGAGGUGUAUCAUCACUGCUUGAUGUCCACAGGUCUACUGUCCAAAGCUCACAUCAUUUCGUGGGAUCCUAGAAACCAUCCAACGGUCUCUUAGGUCCCUUUUGUGACACUGUGGAUGAUUUAUUGAAAAUUCAAGGCACACUUGACCAGCAUGGCUACCACAGCAUUGAUGAGACACACCGUCCCAUCUGGUUCAGUCUUAACCCAGUUGAGAUGAUUUGGGAUGAAAUGGACCACAGAAUGAAGGAAAAGCAGACAAGUGCUCAGCUCCUCUAAGAAGUCCUUCAAGACUGUUGGAAAACCAUUUCAGAUGACCUCAUGAAGCUCAAAAUAGUAGUAAUCCGGCCAGC